GUAGAAAAUAGAUAGAGGCAAACAAAGACAAAUCGAUAGUCCAAACACAAGCAGGUACAACAGUCACGAAACACAAAAACCAAUAAACAGGGUUGCCAACUUUCACAUAUCUGGCGUGACACGGUUUCUGACUGUCACGCACACGCAAGAAAUCUUACGGCAAAUCUAUAUUAUUCCAUUAUAAGCCUAAAAUUAGUUGUAUCAAAAGCGUCGGGGUAGUUUGCAAACCAAGCGGACUAUUUACAAGAUAGAGGACCUGGGGGCAUAAAGAAGAUCUGAGCAGUACAGCCUUGAGCAAACGGGCCGCGGAUGGUCGGACACAGACAGUUUAGAAGCAUCUGGAGAGAGAGAGACAUCUGAAUGCAGUUUUGUCCCCAAGAGUCUUAAACAACCUACAGUGAUGAAAAAUCGCACAGGCCUCAGUGAAGAUUCAGUGAUGGAUUCAGCACCAUACAACAGGUUCAGUGGGUCUGACCCAGAUGUCAGUUUUCCGGGACCAAAGUUCACGCUAUGUCCA